rnacentral:rRNA from 1 species
UACGUAGGGUGCAGGCGUUAAUCGGAAUUACUGGGCGUAAAGCGUGCGCAGGCGGUUUCUUAAGUCAGAUGUGAAAGCCCCGGGCUUAACCUGGGAACUGCGUUUGAAACUGGGAGACUAGAGUGUGGCAGAGGGGGGUGGAAUUCCACGGUGUAGCAGGUGAAAUGCGUAGAUAUGUGGAGGAACACCGAUGGCGAAGGCAGCCCCUGGGUUAACACUGACGC